rnacentral:rRNA from 1 species
AUUGAACGCUGGCGGCAUGCCUUACACAUGCAAGUCGAACGGCAGCACGGACUUCGGUCUGGUGGCGAGUGGCGAACGGGUGAGUAAUGUAUCGGAACGUACCUUUCAGUGGGGGAUAACGUAGCGAAAGUUACGCUAAUACCGCAUAUUCUGUGAGCAGGAAAGCAGGGGAUCGAAAGACCUUGCGCUGAUUGAGCGGCCGAUAUCAGAUUAGCUAGUUGGUGGGGUAAAGGCCUACCAAGGCGACGAUCUGUAGCGGGUCUGAGAGGAUGAUCCGCCACACUGGAACUGAGCCACGGUCCAGACUCCUACGGGAGGCAGCAGUGGGGAAUUUUGGACAAUGGGGGCAACCCUGAUCCAGCCAUGCCGCGUGAGUGAAGAAGGCCUUCGGGUUGUAAAGCUCUUUCGGCCGGGAAGAAAUCGCAUAGGCUAAUACCCUGUGUGGAUGACGGUACCGGAAGAAGAAGCACCGGCUAACUACGUG